UACGAAGGGGGCUAGCGUUGCUCGGAAUCACUGGGCGUAAAGGGUGCGUAGGCGGGUCUUUAAGUCAGGGGGGAAAUCCUGGAGCUCAACUCCAGAACUGCCUUUGAUACUGAAGAUCUUGAGUCCGGGAGAGGUGAGUGGAACUGCGAGUGUAGAGGUGAAAUUCGUAGAUAUUCGCAAGAGCACCAGUGGCGAAGGCGGCUCACUGGCCCGGUACUGACGCUGAGGCACGAAAGCGUGGGGAGCAAACAGG
rnacentral:rRNA from 1 species